GUCUAUGGCCAUACCACCCUGAACACACUUGAUCUCGUCUGAUCUCGGAAGCUAAGCAGGGUCGGGCCUGGUUAGUACUUGGCUGGGAGACCUCCUGGGAAUACUGGGGGCACUACAGCCU
ensembl:rRNA 5S_rRNA 5S ribosomal RNA